GACGAACGCUGGCGGCGUGCUUAACACAUGCAAGUUGAACGGGAUUCGUGCUCAACACCGAGCAUUUGGAAUGGUCAGAAGCGUAUAAGCGCGAAGCGUUUUACACGAAGAAGCCACAGCCAAUGCUGGGUGUUGAGCAUGAUGAGAGUAGCGGACGGGCGAGUAACGCGUGAGUAACCUGCCCUUUGCUGGGGGAUAACAUCGGGAAACCGGUGCUAAUACCGCAUAAGACCACAGUGCCACAUGGUACGGCGGUCAAAGCUCCGGCGGCAGAGGAUGGACUCGCGUCCAAUUAGCUAGUUGGUAGGGUAAUGGCCUACCAAGGCGACGAUUGGUAUCCGAACUGAGAGGUUGAUCGGACGCAUUGGGACUGAGACACGGCCCAGACUCCUACGGGAGGCAGCAGUGGGGAAUAUUGCGCAAUGGGGGCAACCCUGACGCAGCAACGCCGCGUGAAGGAUGAAGGCUUUCGGGUUGUAAACUUCUUUGAUC
rnacentral:rRNA from 1 species